GAUAAACGCUUGAUUUUAUUUUUUAUUAAAUAGAGUAAAGAGGAAAGUCCGUACCUUAAAAGAGUUAUGCGUAGGAUAAUGACCUAGAAGAGCAAUCUUACGGAAAGUGCAACAGAAAAUAUACCGCCAUUUUUAAUGGUAAGGGUGAAAUGGUGUCGGUAAGAGCGCACCGCUUAUUUGGCAACAGAUGAGGCAAUGUAAACCCCGCAUGAGGCAAGGUCAAACAGAGACGUAAUAGGUUACUCUUUCCGAAGUCUCGGGUAGACCGCUUGAGGUAUUUGGUAACAAAUAUCCUAGAUAAAUGUUUAUCAUGAUUUAUCUAUAAUGGAUUUAUCAACAGAAUACGGCUUAUUUCCCGCAUC
rnacentral:RNase_P_RNA from 1 species